rnacentral:rRNA from 1 species
GACGAACGCUGGCGGCGUGCUUAACACAUGCAAGUCGAACGGAAAGGCCCUGCUUUUGUGGGGUGCUCGAGUGGCGAACGGGUGAGUAACACGUGAGUAACCUGCCCUUGACUUUGGGAUAACUUCAGGAAACUGGGGCUAAUACCGGAUAGGAGCUCCUGCUGCAUGGUGGGGGUUGGAAAGUUUCGGCGGUUGGGGAUGGACUCGCGGCUUAUCAGCUUGUUGGUGGGGUAGUGGCUUACCAAGGCUUUGACGGGUAGCCGGCCUGAGAGGGUGACCGGCCACAUUGGGACUGAGGUACGGCCCAGACUCAUACGGGAGGCAGCAGUGGGGAAUAUUGCACAAUGGGCGGAAGCAUGAUGCAGCAACGCCGCGUGCGGGAUGACGGCCUUCGGGUUGUAAACCGCUUUCGCCUGUGACGAAGAGUGAGUGACGGUAAUGGGUAAAGAAGCACCGGCUAACUACGUG